GUCGAGAUUGAAUCUCACAGUUCCUGCACAAAAUUGAAAAGAAAGAAACUCUUGGAGAUGAUAUCUAGUCCCCACAAAUAAUGGUAUCUCCACAGUAAUGGAGUUUAGUGUAUGCAGUUAUGAUUCGUACUAUAGCCCUUUUCACAUGAAAUGUCAGACAGAACACAAACAGAAAAUUGCUCAUUCUUAUCCAAAAUGUUCCUCAGAAACGCAUUAAGGUAGAAGGACAGUGAAUUAAGACAUUUGAACUGAUUAGGACUUGUCAGCAGAUUGCUCAGGUCAAAAAGAAAGAUACUGUCCAAGAGUAGUUGGGUAAAGAAUUGGAUUGCAAGA